rnacentral:rRNA from 1 species
UGGGGAAUAUUGGACAAUGGGUGAGAGCCUGAUCCAGCCAUGCCGCGUGCAGGAAGAAGGCGUUAUGCGUUGUAAACUGCUUUUUGCCAGGGGAUAAAAAGACCGUGCGCGGUUAAUUGAAGGUACCUGGUGAAUAAGCCACGGCUAACUACGUGCCAGCAGCCGCGGUAAUACGUAGGUGGCAAGCGUUGUCCGGAUUUAUUGGGUUUAAAGGGUGCGUAGGUGGCCCUGUAAGUCAGUGGUGAAAUAUCUCAGCUUAACUGAGAGGGUGCCAUUGAUACUGCAGGGCUUGAGUACAGAUGAGGUAGGCGGAAUUGACGGUGUAGCGGUGAAAUGCAUAGAUAUCGUCAAGAACACCGAUAGCGAAGGCAGCUUACCAAGCUGUAACUGACACUGAGGCACGAAAGUGUGGGGAUCAAACAGGAUUAGAUACCCACGUAGUCCCUGAG